rnacentral:tRNA from 1 species
GUCUCUGUGGUGCAAUCGGUUAGCGCGUUAGGCUGUUAACCGAAAGGUUGGCCGUUUGAGCCCAUCCAAGGACG